rnacentral:miRNA from 12 species
GGGCUUAGACUGGGCUCAGAGCAGGUUCAGGCUGGGGCUCAGGCUGGGCUUAGACUGGGCUCAGAGCAGGCUCAGGCUGGACUCAGAACAGGCU